rfam:Myotis brandtii contig172314, whole genome shotgun sequence.
ACACCAGCCAGGCACCUGUUCCUCCUUUUGGAGGGCAGAUUAGAACAUGAUGAUUGGAGUUUGCAUUAUUCAUGAUUAGUGUCUGCGUAAUCAGGAUUUACAAUACCCUGAUUACUCCUGAGUCUUAA